rnacentral:misc_RNA from 1 species
CAUGAAAAUCUUAUUUGCAAAAAUUGUUAGAUCUGUUUGGAUGGUGGCUGGGCACAUACACAUCUAAAAUUCAUAAGAUCAGUUUUGAUUGGUAUGCACGUCAACAUGUUGCAGUCAAACUGUUGCUUUUAUGUAUGUGAAAAAAUGUUGGGCUAGAACUUUUCACAUUUGUAGUAGUGGACCUCAACUAGGUUAUAGUUAUACUCUUCACUUUUGCUUACAUUUCCCUAUUCUUAUUAUUCUGAUUUGUCUCUACAGUCUAGCUAUAACUCUACCUAAGUAGUUUGUGUUUAGCCAGUCCUAAGCCCGGAUAAAGGAGG